AACGAACGCUGGCGGCAGGCCUAACACAUGCAAGUCGAGCGCCCCGCAAGGGGGAGCGGCGGACGGGUGAGUAACGCGUGGGAACGUACCCUUUGCUACGGAAUAGCCUCGGGAAACUGGGAGUAAUACCGUAUGUGGUCGAGAGACGAAAGAUUUAUCGCCAAAGGAUUGGCCCGCGUUGGAUUAGGUAGUUGGUGGGGUAAUGGCCUACCAAGCCGACGAUCCAUAGCUGGUUUGAGAGGAUGAUCAGCCACACUGGGACUGAGACACGGCCCAGACUCCUACGGGAGGCAGCAGUGGGGAAUCUUAGACAAUGGGGGAAACCCUGAUCUAGCCAUGCCGCGUGAUCGAUGAAGGCCUUAGGGUUGUAAAGAUCUUUCAGGUGGGAAGAUAAUGACUGUACCACCAGAAGAAGCCCCGGCUAACUCCGUG
rnacentral:rRNA from 1 species